rnacentral:rRNA from 1 species
AGUAGCCGCGGGAAUACAGAGGGUGCGAGCGUUAAUCGGAUUUACUGGGCGUAAAGCGUGCGUAGGCGGCUUUUUAAGUCGGAUGUGAAAUCCCUGAGCUUAACUUAGGAAUUGCAUUCGAUACUGGGAAGCUAGAGUAUGGGAGAGGAUGGUAGAAUUCCAGGUGUAGCGGUGAAAUGCGUAGAGAUCUGGAGGAAUACCGAUGGCGAAGGCAGCCAUCUGGCCUAAUACUGACGCUGAGGUACGAAAGCAUGGGGAGCAAACAGGAUUAGAUACCCCCGUAGUCCCUGUCUCUUAUACA